GGGGUCGCGUGACCACACACUUCCGGCGGGAGGGGGAAGCGGAAGCGGAAGGGGCGGGGUCGUGCGCCGUGGUUCUACACGUCAGAGACCGAAUGGAGUAGCCCUGGAAUCCAGAACGAGUGUGCCCCGCCAGAUUUUUCCAGAGAGACAUUCUGAGUUUCUCUUCAAGUGUGCGUGUGUUUAUCCCAAGGAGGUAAAGAACUAACAGCGAGCACUGAAUCGUAAGAAGUUCUUACCUCCAUAUACAGAAAAAGAGGCAGAGAGAGAAGUGCACAACAGCACUGAAGCUUCUUCAAAGUGGAGGGGGCCGGCUUGAACCGGGGUGGUGCACAUGGCAAUGCCACACACUCUCUAGGGAGCGACUUCACCAGCCCUUUCGAAACCAAGGCACUGACAGAGGAAGAAAAAAUAAAACCGAGAAAGAGGGAGAGACAUGUGUGAGCUGCUGCAUUCAUAACUGACCUGAACUGGGGACCCUCCAAGUAUU